rnacentral:rRNA from 1 species
AUUGAACGCUGGCGGCAGGCCUAACACAUGCAAGUCGAGCGAGCGGCGGACGGGUGAGUAAUGUAUGGGGACUGCCCGAUAGAGGGGGAUAACUACUGGAAACGGUGGCUAAUACCGCAUACUAUCGGUGAACCCAUCUGGGAUUAGCUAGUGGGUGGGGUAAAGGCUCACCUAGGCGACGAUCUCUAGCUGGUCUGAGAGGAUGAUCAGCCACACGUGGAAGGAGAAACGGCCCAGCCUCCUACGGAGGCAGCAGUGGGGAAUAUUGCACAAGGGGCGCAGGCCUGAUGCAGCCAUGCCGCGUGUGUGAAGAAGGCCUUAGGGUUGUAAAGUACUUUCAGCGGGGAGGCGUUACCCGCAGAAGAAGCACCGGCUAACUCCGUGCCAGCAGCCGCGGUAAUAC